rnacentral:rRNA from 1 species
GGCUAGAUCGUGACAGGUAAGCGAAAUCUUAGGAAAGUAGCGAAGCACAUGAUGACGGCUUCCAGGAAAAGCUUCUGGCAAUGCAUAUGCGGCCCGUACCAAAACCGACACAGGUGGGCAGGGAGAGAAUCCCGAGGUGAGCGAGAGAACUGUUGCCAAGGAACUCGGCAAAAUGACUCCGUAAGUUAGCGAGAAGGAGUGCUUAAGCAAUUAAGCCGCAGUGAAGAGGCCCAAGCGACUGUUUAACUAAAACACAGCUCUCUGCGAAGUCGCAAGACGAAGUAUAGGGGGUGACACCUGCCCGGUGCUGGAAGGUUAAGAGGAUCUGUUAAGAGCGAUCUGAAGCAGUGAUCCGAAGCCCCAGUGAACGGCGGCCGUAACUAUAACGGUCCUAAGGUAGCGAAAUUCCUUGUCAGGUAAGUUCUGACCCGCACGAAAGGUGUAACGAUUUGGGCGCUGUCUCGGCAGCAGACUCGGUGAAAUCUUAGUACCUGUGAAAAUGCAGGUUACCCGCAACUAGACGGAAAGACCCCAUGGAGCUUUACUGCAGCCUGAUAUUGAAUUCUGGUCAUACAUGUACAGGAUAGGUGGGAGACAAAGAGACGUGCACGCCAGUGUACGAGGAGUUGACGUUGGGAUACCACUCUUGUGUGACUGGGGUUCUAACCUGGUAUCGAGAACAGGUACGGGGAGAGUGUCAGGUGGGCAGUUUGACUGGGGCGGUCGCCUCCCAAAGAGUAACGGAGGCGCCCAAAGGUACGCUCAGAUUGGAUGGAAACCAAUCGUCGAGUGCAAAUUGCAGAAGCGUGCUUGACUGUGAGACAGACAAGUCGAACAGGGACGAAAGUCGGGAAUAGUGAUCCGGCGGUGCCGAAUGGAAGGGCCGUCGCUCAACGGAUAAAAGCUACCCUGGGGAUAACAGGCUGAUCUCGCCCAAGAGUUCACAUCGACGGCGAGGUUUGGCACCUCGAUGUCGGCUCAUCGCAUCCUGGAGCUGGAUUCGGUUCCAAGGGUUGGGCUGUCCGCCCAUUAAAGCGGUACGCGAGCUGGGUUCAGAACGUCGUGAGACAGUUCGGUCCCUAUCUGUUGUGGGCGAAGGAGAUCUGCGGAGAGCUGUCCUCAGUACGAGAGGACCGGGAUGGACCUACCGCUGGUGCACCGGUUGUUCCGCCAGGGGCAUAGCCGGGUAGCUAAGUAGGGAAAGGAUAAGCGCUGAAAGCAUCUAAGCACGAAGCCUACUCCAAGAUGAGAUCUCCCAUUCGCAAGAAGUAAGACCCCUUAAAGGCGAUAAGGUAGAUAGGCCAGGGAUGGAAGUGCAGUGAUGUACGGAGUUGACUGGUACUAAUCGGUCGAGGACUUAAUC